AAAUAGAGUGAAUCAGCUGUGGGAACAAUAAUGAGCUUCAUAUUCUGCAAAGAUCGAAGAUGGAGUGACACUUAAAAAGCAUUAGAGGAGGCAUGUGCACAUUACAGUUACUUAGCCGUAACGAGGAGCUAUACCACAACCUUGAUUUUGCCAAGUUGGGGAUGAGCACAUAAGAACAGUCACAUUCCCAGCGGACUGCACGCAUUCAUGGAAUACUGCAUCUACAUCUGCUACGUACAGAACCUACUCAAUCAAUA